GACGAACGCUGGCGGCGUGCUUAACACAUGCAAGUGGAGCGACGAACCAGGGCUUGCCCUGGGGCAGAGCCGCGAACGGGUGAGUAACACGUGGGUAACGUGCCCCGAUGACUGGGACAACCCGGGGAAACCCGGGCUAAUACCGGAUAUGCCCCCUCACGCGAGUGAGGUGUGUAAAGGAAGCUUCGGCCUCCGCAUCGGGAUCGGCCCGCGGCGCAUUAGCUUGUUGGUGGGGUAACGGCCUACCAAGGCAACGAUGCGUAGCUGGUCUGAGAGGACGAUCAGCCACACUGGGACUGAGACACGGCCCAGACUCCUACGGGAGGCAGCAGUGGGGAAUCUUGCGCAAUGCGCGAAAGCGUGACGCAGCAACGCCGCGUGGGGGAAGACGGCCUCGGUU
rnacentral:rRNA from 1 species